AAAACUUCAAAAAUAGGUCUCAGUUCGGACUGUAGGCUGCAACUCGCCUACACGAAGUUGGAAUUGCUAGUAAUCGUGGAUCAGCAUGCCACGGUGAAUACGUUCCCGGGUCUUGUACACACCGCCCGUCACACCAUGGGAGCUGGUAACACCCGAAGUCAGUAGUCUAACCGCAAGGAGGACGCUGCCGAAGGUGGGAUUAGCGACUGGGGUGAAGUCGUAACAAGGUACC
rnacentral:rRNA from 1 species